rnacentral:lncRNA from 1 species
CCGGGGGUGGCCCCUCGGCUACUUACCGGGGCGGAGAGCGCCGGGCGCCGGGCCCGGGGCCGGGCGCGGGCACCGGGCCGCGGGCGCCGGACGGUGGGCGCGCCCGAGGGAGCCCCGGCCGGCCGGCCGCCCGCCCGCGCGCCCGCCCGCCCGCGGCCUGGCCGCCGCCCCUCGCGGCUCCCCGCUCCGCAGAGCCGGGCCCGGGCGCUGGGCGCGGGCCGCGGGCUGGAGGCCGCCGGGCGCCCAGCGGGCGCGAGGGGCGGCCGCGGCGCCCCAGCCCGAGGCCUGGCGCAGAGCAGCGGGAGGCGGCGCAGGCCGCGGCGGGGCCUGCAGCGGCCACUCAGGCCCGCGCGGCGGCGGGGCGGGGUCCCCAGGCGGCUCGGCCUCGGGCUCGGCGGCCGGGGGCGGCCGGGGGUGGCCCCUCGGCUACUUACCGGGGGCGGAGAGCGCCGGGCGCCCGGGGCCCCGGGCCGGACCGCGGAGAUGCCCCGAACUGACACGGCCGCCAUCUUGGAGACAGUGCGCUCCGGCCGGGGGGAGGGGAGGCGGGGCGGCGGAACAGCCGCGGGGGGAGGGGUGGCGGCGCGAGGGAACGGCGGCCUGGGGGAGGGCGCGGGAACGGCUCGGGAGGGAGGCGGGUGGGAGGGGGAAGAGGGGGCCGCGCGGGCGGCGGGCGGGGGGGAGGCGGCCGCGGAGCGGGAAGAGCUGGGCCGGGCGCCGGGGAAGGCCGGAGGGCGGGGCGGGGGCAGCAGGGAACAGCCGGCCGCGCGGGUCACGUGGGGCCGGUACAAAAGGCCAAAGUGGGAGGCGGCGCCGCGCGCGCGGAGCCCCGGCGGCCGGGGGGCGCCCGUGCGCGGGCCGGGCGGCUCCCCACCCCGGGGCUGGAGCAGCCGCGGCGAACCCCAUGGCACCGCCAGGGGAGCGGAGGGCCGCGCCCGGGCGGGGAGGCUUCGGGGCGGCGCGGAAAUCCGGGAAGGGCAGUGCAUGACAGAUGACAGACGAAAUAACUCAUACUUUUGUGUGGACACGUUUUCCCGCCCCCGGACCAUUUCACCGGCCAGACUGUUCUCCCCAAACAUCUCCUGGAUUUAUCCCAGCUUUACCAUUUAA